CGAGAUGUCUUGUAGGCUGCGGGUGCGGGGUUUGGAGAGAGGCGAGGCGAGGAGAGGGGUGGCGGUGGCGGUGGUGGUGGUGAGGCCACACUCGAUCGUGCUAGGAGCCGAGAGAGCGCCUCUCCUGCCCACGGGCUUUGGGACCGGGCUAGGGCAUCUUGGGGAUCUGCGCCUCCAGGACUGCGCCCCCUCACUCUCACCCUCGCCCCCCUCCUGCUUCCGCGCCCCUCCGCCUCCGGACACGACAUACAGUCUAGCACCCUAGGCCGCUCCGCCUCUGCCGCCUCCUCUGAUGCCUGUGCCAGUCGAGCGCUUGGGCGAGGUUACCGGAGUCGAGUCCUUUUCCGCCGCGAGACGACGCCCCCGGGGCGCGCGCUACGGGGGUCCCGCCGCUAGCGGCGCGGGCCCUUCCAGAGGUACAGGCGCCGGCCGCCACCGCCACUCGCGCAGCAGAGGCGACGGCCCCCGCCGCGGCACUACCUGCUGUAGCGCAGGCGCCGGGUCGGGUGAUGGCGGUUCCGGAGGAGAUUUCCCUAUGGGUAUUACUGCUCUCGAGUUUCUAAGGUGGGAAACCUGGGUAAUAGACGACGGCUUUAACGUCACCGACAACGUUGACAUUCUCGGCGACCUUUUAGAGGACUCCUUGCACUGUCGUACGCAAAACAACUUCGACACGACGACCUUGGUCUUUUCUUACAACAUCGUAAUCGGCUACGGAUAAAAAAGGGCGGUAAGGUUGGUAGUGACGAGGGAUCUUGGUUUCCGAGACGGCAGUAAGGCUCGUCCAACGGAGGGUCCUCCCGGUUCGAACAACAGAUGUUAUCUGUAAGUUUACUCUGAUGGUAAACCUAUCAUCUUGAUAGACUUCACGUACGUCGAUGAUCUCCACCUGUAGUGUCUCCCUUCCACUAUAGUAGACUUCAACAAGGUCUACAUGUCGGACGUUACCUACGAUACCUUAUACGACUCACACUUCGAUGACAGUUUUUAAUAGGAGGUAAACAACUUCGAUACUUCUUUUCUCCACACCUGCUGUACCUUGAACAGUACCAUCUACGGACCACACGACCGAUGAUGUCACUACGACUACGAGGGUCAGCGUCUGAACGGUCCGGAGAUUAGAAAACGGCUUGACUCUCACUAUCAGGGUACCUCUUACCAAUACGAGCAGGACACCUUCCCUAGGUACAACAACAACUAUACGUCUUAUUAUAACAGUAUCUCAAACUUCUGUCCUUCAAACAAGGAGACGGAGGUGGUCUAGUAAACUCUUUGAUGUGAGGACCUCUUUGAUCUCCACCACAACUAGCUUCACUACACUUUGGAGAAUAAUAGUUAGUCGGACUCCCGGGUUCGAAGGCAUAAUUACCGAUAAAACACCUUACCGUCUUCACCUUAAAGGCAUAACCGAAGUGGGGAUUUCUCCCAAACCAGUAGAUAAGACAACGUAUACAACUACCAUCGGCACCCGCAUCUGGAUAUCGAGUAUCCGACUCGAAACAACUCUACCAACAAGGAAUACCUCUAGGUUCACUUGGUGUAAUAGCGUUCUUACGAAAACUACGACCUCUUCUACCUGAACCGUUUUUACGAGUAAGAGAAUUCUUCCCCACACUGACGAACCCAAUGUAGUUCAUAAAACUACGUGUGAAGUGCUUGAAAUGGCCAGUACACCUCUGUUAACUCUUGACACACACAGACGUGCUCCUCCUGGUACCUUAGGAAACCUUUGUGGUUCUGACCUCUUGACCAAAUCGUCUUCAAUCCGCUAGUUCCUCCGAGUGCCACAGUAAAUAGACGUGUCAACGGUUGAUACUUAUACCAAAAAUGACCGUGAAAAUAGUCCACCAACUUCAUUUACAGUUUCAGCUUUCACGUCCGUGUUUAUUACACGUGUUGUUACGAAAGAUACGACUUCUUUUCUAUGACUUUAGGCUCAACGUUCGUUACUCUCUAACACUGGGAAGUAGACGCGCUGUAACCUAACAAUCCUUGUGCUCCCGACAUUUAGCAUGGCCUGUUGGUUGACCAAAGUCUGAGCACGGACCAAGUUUGACAAACGGUAAACGAGACGGGCUCCGUUUCAAAGAAGCUUCUCGGCCCAAGGAUUUCGUGUUAGAAACCCACUGUGGUAUGUUCUCACUACUCUUCAAAGGACCUCCCCUCAAGGGGUUGGUCUUAGGUGCAGAAGUGCUCCCAAAUCGAUGAACCCACUUCUUCCUAUCUGGGAACCUCCUUUGACUGUAGCAAGAGACCAUACAUAAACCCGAGUGGGUGUAGGGUUCCGACCUUCUAACCGGCCAGUACGGCCACCUUGUGUAGCCGAAGUACGAGUACGGUGUACCUAAGAAGUUGACGAGCGGACGACAACUACACGGAGGACCGUGAAGACUACGGCGGCUACAGUUCCUUCGUCUCAGCGGAUUCCGGUAGGUCUUGCCCCGGGAACAAAGGUUCGAGAUUCGAACCGUCGAGAGGAGUUUUCUUCUUUGACCGUUAUUUUCAACAAUAGAGCACCAGACAAAGCAAAAGACAUUAUUAUACAAACAAACGACGUGACUAACUAACACUUACAACUCGACGUGUUCAUCGUAGAUUAUUAGAGACCUGACCGUAUUACGGACGUAUUUAUUUACACACAACGGUACGGAAGAAAACCCCGGUUACUAAUAGUACAAUAGUUAGUAAAAAAUGACCUGACCGC
rnacentral:rRNA from 1 species